rnacentral:rRNA from 1 species
GAUGAACGCUGGCGGCGUGCCUAAUACAUGCAAGUCGAGCGAAUGGAUUAAGAGCUUGCUCUUAUGAAGUUAGCGGCGGACGGGUGAGUAACACGUGGGUAACCUGCCCAUAAGACUGGGAUAACUCCGGGAAACCGGGGCUAAUACCGGAUAACAUUUUGAACCGCAUGGUUCGAAAUUGAAAGGCGGCUUCGGCUGUCACUUAUGGAUGGACCCGCGUCGCAUUAGCUAGGUGGUGAGGUAACGGCUCACCAAGGCAACGAUGCGUAGCCGACCUGAGAGGGUGAUCGGCCACACUGGGACUGAGACACGGCCCAGACUCCUACGGGAGGCAGCAGUAGGGAAUCUUCCGCAGUGGACGAAAGUCUGACGGAGCAACGCCGCGUGAGUGAUGAAGGCUUUCGGGUCGUAAAACUCUGUUGUUGGGGAAGAACAAGUGCUAGUUGAAUAAGCUGGCACCUUGACGGUACCUAACCAGAAAGCCACGGCUAACUACGUGCCAGCCGCCGCCGUAA